rnacentral:tRNA from 1 species
GUGGGUAUAGCUCAGUGGCUGAGCACACAUUUAGCAUGUGCAAGGUCCUGGGUUCAAUCCCCAGUACCUCCA